UUGACCUGUUCCAAGAGACAAGUGCGCUGGAUUUCUACCGAGCCUUCCCGCCGGUACGCGCUCACCUUGGGGUUCUCCAGUCGCCGGUGCACCGGAGCAGCACUGCCACCUUCUUGCAAGCUCUCCCUUUUUACUAAGACAAAACAGGAGCAGGAGCCUGUGAUCCGCUCCGGGAUACACAAGAGUCUGGUGCGCGAGUUGGGCGGGGUUUGUCCCCUGUCAAUCAAAUGCUGUGGCAGAAGCCCAGGCUCACCUGAGACUAAGGUCCUUCCAGCAUCCCAUCCCCCCUCCAUCACACUCAAAACACAAGAUCGCACUGAUGCAAGAGCAUCACGGUCAUCGAAUGUGCACUUUCAACUCAAAUCUCAACCUUCUUUACUGUCUUCUUAUUGAUCUAAAUGCAGAUGUCACGUCCUAUCCGAACACAUCCAGUCGAGAGGUCUUUGGGACUGAAGCUCCUGCCACUGUGCCUCUGUAAUGAACCUUCUUUCAAAGUCAAUAAGAUUGUUUCCUCGUUCCAUCAUCAUCUCUAAUCAAGGUCAUCACACAGAGCAUGGUAGGAGGUUAACGGCUUAAUAAUGGUGUACAGUCCACCCGUCCGUGUGCAGCUACACAAUCCAAUUACCAAUCUAGUUAUGCAUGUGACAGUCUUCACUGAAAUAAACAGUAAACUGCUGAAAAAUGUUAUUCAAGAAGAUGACUCCGUUAUUCAGAACACAAUGUCUAAUGCGUCAGAUGUACAAAUCUAUAGAUUCAAAGAGCUGUAAAUUAUGAACUUGCUGCAUAAACAAAACACAUAAGAAAUGAAAUCAGCUUCUGAGGAGAGUAAAUAUUUAGCACAUUUACUGUCAAGUGCAAAUGUAGCAUCUAGUGAUUCCACCAUGUUUUCUUACUGACAAGCCCCAUAUUUAUCACUUUUUUGUUGUGUUCAUGUUCGUUCAAGUCAUAAACAUUCAGAUUAUAUACAGAAACACCCUCAACUCAUAUCCACUGGUCAGAUCAACAAACCUCCUACAGUUCACAGGCUAAACAAAUCUCACACAAAAAAGCUACUGUUCUCAGGCUAAACAAAACUCAAAUAUAAAACUCUACACUUAUCUUGCUAAACAAAACUUGAUUGAAAAUGCCACAGUUCACAGGCUAAACAAAACUUGAUUGAAAAUGCCACAGUUCACAGGCUAAACAAAACUUGAUUGAAAAAGCAACAGAUUGCAAGCUAAACAAAACUAAAACGAAAAAGCCACAGUUCUCAGAGACGAAACAAAACUUGAUUGAAAAAGCAACAGAUUGCAAGCUAAACAAAACUAAAACGAAAAAGCCACAGUUCUCAGAGACGAAACAAAACUUGAAUGAAAAAAGCUACACUUAUCAGGCUAAACAAAACUCCAAUAAAAAUGCAGUAAAGGACCGUAGCAAAGAUCAUCAACAUCCAUGUCAGUGCAAUGUGUUCGAUAAUAAGCAGGUGUAAAGUUCAUAAAACACUCCGGACAGAUUUCAUUACAGAUUUUAUAACAUGCACUCAGACUCAUUAUAAGGAAGGCAGAAAGGAAGUAGUCCAUCAGCCACUUGAAAAGAGUUGCAGGAUGAUCUGAAAGCAGCAAGAACUGCAGCAACACAUUCAUCUCCAUUCUUACACCCUACUCCAAACUCCACAGCUGAUCAUACAAACAAAAGCUAAAUGUUCAUGUAUGGAGAAAGAAGGCAUGUUUGUGUGAACACAAGAUCCCCACAAUGAAGCAUGGGGGUGGGAGCAUCAUGAUAUAGAGUAAUAAGGCAUUAAAUGGACAAAUGUGAAAAGAGCGACGUUCCAGGAUUUCAUUAGUGGAGAAUUUUAUCUCAUCAGCCAAG